GAUGCUUUGUCAUCAUCACUUGAAUCAUCAUCCGAAGAGGCAUCACUAUCCCAUGUCACAACAUAGGAUCCACCUUUCUUCUUCUUCUUGAAGACCAUCUUCUUCUCCUUCUUUUCUUUCUUCUCCUUCUUGUUCUUUUUCUCAUGCUCAUCAUGAUCACUAUUGUUUGGACAAUCCGCCACAAUAUGAUCGGGGCUCUUGCACUUGUAGCAUAUCCUCACAUAUUCCUUGUUCUUGG
rnacentral:lncRNA from 1 species